UUUGGGGACGGGGCGGGCGCGGAGAGGGAGCGGCGGGAGGACCGCCCCACUCCGAAGGCAGCCCCGGGAACCGGGCGCCCUGGCCGCGCGUCCUGCCUGCUGCCACCUCGCUCUGCGCGAGCCCAGGGGAGGAUCUGACUCCCGGGGUCGGGAGCCGCGGGCUCGGGAACAGCUAGGAGCUUUGGGGGCUUGGCGUGGGGGCUGGGGCGAUGCGAUGGAGAGGAUCUUCUGGAGGAAGGCAGGCGUGAUAGGGUCCCGGGUCCUGAACCGAGGGGCAUGAUCGGUCGUUCGACGAUGACGAUGAAGAAGAAAGUGGCGAGAAUUGAGAAACAUCGCUUUUGUUGACAAGGUAGAGCCAUACCAGGCAAGCUCUGCAGAACACCAAGAGGAACCUAGAGCUGCGAGGUUGCCUCACUCGCCCUGUGUUUCUCUAAGAGACUGCUGAUGGGUGUGUGUGCUCAGCUGUGUCGAACUCUUUGCGACCCCAUGGACUGUAGCACGCCAGGCUCCUCUGUCCAUGCAGUCUACCCGAAUGCUGGAGUGCUUUGCCAAUCCCUCCUCCAACAGACGACGUUUUGUCAGAACUCUCCACUAUGACACAUCCGUCUUGGGUGGUCCUGCAUGGCAUGGCUCAUAGCUUCAUUGAGUUAUGCAAGCCCCUUUGCCACGACAAAGCUCGGAUCCAUGAAGGGGCCUGAUGUGUGAGUCCCAUGUGAACUGUUGGAGCUCGUCCCCAUCCCGCUCAAGUAGAAGGGCAGGGCGUCUCACCUGGGAGAGGAGCCUUCCCUCCUUUGGGCCACCUGCCAACUGGUCAGAGCAGGAGAGAAGGGAGAGAGCGAAGCACUGCAGACGCAGUGGCUGGGUUUCCACUCCAGCCUUGGGAGAGGCACCCUCACACCUGGCGGGGCGGCGGGGGUAGGGGGAGCGCUUCCUUCCAGAUGCCCCUCAACGUGGACAGCAGGUUCCAUGUCAGAGGGUCCCCUUGAGGACAGGCUGGCUAAUUGCACCAUCACCCCAAGUGAAAUGAUUUCUAAAUAAACAUAUCCCACCUUGGAAAGCG